rnacentral:misc_RNA from 1 species
ACGAGUUCAAAGUCGAACGACCGUGCUGGUGGAAACGCAUGUGCACGUCGGUCGCGAACCCAUCCACACACCGUGAACGUAUGGCCUGGAGUCUAUGACUCUGGGCACCAUUUUUUACACUCUAUAUGUAAAGGAAUGUCUUUUAUCAUAAUAUAUA